UGGCUGCUCGGCAGGCGGAGCGCGUAGGCGGCGCGCGCGGGGCCUUCUUGGUAGGGGGGACCGGAGCCGAGACCCAGCCCGGACCGAGCAACAGGUUGGCGAAACCCUGUGUCCUUGGAGGAAGCUGGUUCCCGUUUUCCUGAGUGGGGGGAGCCCGGAGCUUGGAAGGAAGCGGAGUGGAAAGACCCACCCAGAGCUGAUGGUGAAAACACGGACUGAGGAAGCCCCUCGGGAAGUCCAGCUGCAGAGAUAGCCACCCCAAUGCUAUUUACAUAUAGCUAUAUAUAUAUAUACAUACACACAAAAAGAAAAUACAAAAUUCUGUAUCUGUGCAUGCCUGCGGGGAGACGUGGUCCCUCCCCUUUCCGCACCUUGCAAUGUGAACUUUGAGACUUUGUAACGUCUGGGGCAGCAGGGGAGAGAGAUGCUUGCUGUUGUGUGGAGGCUGAAAAAACUCACAUGGACCGGUGGGAUCAGCCUCAGCAUGGACCAAGCGCCCAGGACAGAUGCUGGCGUGAAGUAGUGAGAGCGCCCGCCAAAGGCGAGAUGGACGAAGAUGGGGGUGGGGGUGGGGCGUUUGGUUGGGGGCAGCCUCCAUUUCUUGACAUGUCCCAUCCUCUCUCUCUCUGUCCCUGUCUAGACAGCUCUCUAGAUUCUCAUGGUUGGUCACAGCCAGAGAAACGGGAUGUCAUUUUCUUUUCCUACCUAUCUGGUGUGUGUGGUGCUUCACUUCAAUUUUCUUGGUGCUAAGUGUGUCCUUGGCAUGGCCAGAGUCGUAGUGACAGACCCGGACGACGGCCGGGGGAUGACAGGUUUCUAUUUUGCUCUUUGGAUAUACUCUCUCUUUUUUUUUUAAAGGGCCAAGUGACAAAAGUACCACUGGAGAGUCUCUAUGCGGGGGAGGGGGAAUGCUCCCUGGGGCUUAGGAGCCACCCCCUGGGGGCCUGGGAGGGAGGAGGGGUAAGCUAGGAUACAGAAGCUGCCUAGGAGAUGGCAGUCCCCCCUCCCCCUUGCAGCCGUACCCUGAGAGACUGCUGUGGCCUCCCCCACUUCCUAAGGGGAUUCAGGGCUUAGGUUUUUAUAGAUUAAAGAGCCAAGAAACGGCUACAUUCUGAUGGAGCGUGAUUUAUAAGCAGGGGAUGUUAGGGGAGGGGGGAGGCGGACCUUUUAAAUGAAAUGUCCGAUUCCCCUGCUCCUCAAACACACAUAGGAUAAGCUACUGUUUUCAGAAGUUUCUAGAAGGGCUAAUAUAAAUAUACAUAUAAAUACAUAUAUAUAUGUAAAAUGAAGCUGUGCGCCUGACUGAUAUUUGGCUGCAAAGGCUUACUGCUUCAGAAGUGAUGAUUUAAUUUUUGCUUUCAUUAAAAGAAAAAAAUUUUUUUUCCCAACAGAAACAGGUAUUAUUCCUCUGCACGGAUAUUUUAUUACCUCCGUGGCAGUCUUUGUGGCUGAGGUGAUGGUGAGGGAGCCUGCUGUGGGCUCAGUGAGACAGUUAGUCUGAGUUUUGAUUUUUUUUUUUCCCCUUUUUAAAUUUCGGAGACAAGGUCUGGCCCUGGAGCCCAGGCUGACCUCCGUCCUUGAGCCUCCUGUCUUGACAUCUGGCAUUUGGGACACUGCCUGCCAGGGGACAGUCACUUUCCCCUGGCUGGAUCUGCAGGUCACAGAUGCAUGGUGCCUGGGGAUCAGGGGAUCUGCUAGGAAGCAUUAGUUAUUAGGGUGCACAGGGCUACAAGGGGAAUGGUCCCACCAACUAUGCCAAGCGUGACCAGGUCCUAAAGUGCGCACUCUCCCAGUUUGCGCCCUCCUCCUUCUCCAUGUCGAAUCCAUGCCUUAUAUUUCUUUAAAUAACCUAUUAAAGAAAACGCAACUGAGAACUCAAUGCCCUCCCCACCCCAUCCCACCCCGCCUUAGCUGCCAGAACUGAACUCGGCAAAGGAAAAUAAAUAGCUUAUUUGGCAGGGAGGCAGCAGGCAGCAGGCCAUGCCCUCGCCAAGCCGGAAUGACAUAGAAUGAUCUGGAAAACGCUCUCUGUUUGUAUUUAGUCCCUUUCCUAGCGAGGAACAGAGCCCUUGCAAAGCACUGUAUUUCCAGGGAAGGUGCUUGCUAUGGUGGAGAUCACAGAAUGUCAGCCCCUUUAAAGAGAUAUCGUCAAGAUGGCAGUGGGGACAUGCUGACCCCGGAGAAACCCAGCGCGAGGGUGAGAGGUCAGAGAAUACCUCCCUUUUUGUGUUUUGUUUUUGAGCCUGACAUUGCCUGUUAGCGGACGAUAUCUCCCUGGAGGAUGUGAACUCCAAACACAGGGGUUGGCAUAUCCGGUGAUUUUCAUUUCAAUGAAGCUGUGUUGCUGAGAGAACCCGGGCACCCAUGACCUCCCGAUGGAGCUUUUCAGCCAAGUCCUCUGUAAAUACUCUCCUGUAGUAAUGGAAACCACAUAUUUAUCGGAUCUGGGGGGGGGGGUGCGGGUGGUUGAGGCUUGGCUCGCAUGCCGCCUCCGCCUUUCCUUUGAGUCCUGCCCCGAAUUUGAUGGGGGUUGUUUUUAAAUGCUGUUUUUAUAUGAGGUUUGACUUCUUGAUGGACAUUUGUAUUAGGAUACUGAAGCAUGCUAGCUGUGUCUCUCUCGUCUCCACGGUCUCUGAUGUGGUGUUACUUGGACUGCAUGAGAUAGGGGGAUGGGCUUUCUGUUGACGGUGUUACUACAAAGAGAAAAAAAAAAAACAAAACCCAAAACUUCCACAGUGUGUGAAAUGCUGGCACCAGCCCUGCCUUUAUCCGCUGCCUCCCCUGGCUGCCAAGGAGCAUUGAUUUUGAUUUGCCUCUCCACAGAGUCUGUGAAGAAGGAAAGAGAGGGAGAGAGGCUUUGAAAUAAAUUUUAAAAAGACCUCAUGCUGGGUUGCAGCAGAGUGUGUGUGUGUGUGUGUGUGUGUGUGUGUGUGUGUGGUAUGUGUCCAUGCAAAGCCUAGGAGGCCUCUGAGAUCAUUGCCAGGGAGCUGGCUGUGUGAGGAGAUGAGGCGCUAUCUGCCACCUGGGUCCAAAAGCGGCUGCCUGCUCUCUGAGGGUGAGGGCCCUGGAGUCUGUGGGACUGAAGCCUUCCAGAGUAGGUCCACUCCCUUCUGGAAGCCUCCCUCCUUUACCUCAUCCUCAACAAGCAAGAGCUCUGUUCAAAGUUUGGGGUUCCAUCUCCCUUGGUCUAGAUGGAGUCUGAGUCAGGGUUCUUUUGGAGAGCGCAGUACAGGCAGUGUCCUGAUCCAGGAGCCCCCCCCCCAAUACUUCCUGUCACCAUUCCCCCAGCGUCAUCGUUGUCGUGGGUCAUACUUCUUCCUCAGCUCUGUGGAUAGCCUUGUUCUGUUUCUAUUGUGUUGAGGGAUGGUGACUUAAACAUACUGUUGCAGGAUAAAGAGGAUGUGAAUGCCCCGAUGCCACGUCACACAGCUGAGCUCAUGUCUCGUGUGCACCUGACUCUAUGGUCAUGUCUCUGAAAUGGACCACGUGUCCCUUUCCUCACCGAGAACUGAGGGAGGAAGCACCCUGCAUGCGUACUUUUGGGAGACACUGAGUCACGACUGUGGACUAUUUAUGUUUGUUGUUACUGGUUUUUUUGAGACAUGGAGCCCAGACUGGUCUUGAACUCACUAUACAGCAGAGGCUAACCCUACACUCCUGAUCCUCCUGCCUCUGCCUCCUGAUUAUAGGUGUGGGCCACCAUUCCUGGCUUGUGCUGUGGACUGUUUGAAUGUCCAGAGUGAACGGUUAGAAGCUGCAGUGACCACAACACAGGUUCUCUUCUGUGUUCAUACUGUUUUCUUUUCUGAGCCCGAAGUCAAAUUGGGGGAAACCAGGGGGUCAGAAGUCAGUGGAGGAUUUGGGGAGGCAGGGAUGGAGGGAAAGCAGAUUGUUCCCACUCGAGCUGAUCAGAAGCCCCACAAAGAGGGUACGCUGACAUCACAGUGUCUUUUGAAAGCGUUAGCCAAAAGUUUAUCUUUUUAAACGUUUUAAUCGAUUCCGUUGACACCUGUUUAUUGAGCAGCUACAGCGUGCCAGCCGGAGACCUCCAUCUCGGGACAAACUUAGUCAUGGUACAGCAACAGUCCUUUUGGAGACCAGAUGCCAUGAAAUGUCCCUUUUCAGUCUGGCUCAUAAUUUCUAACAGAUCUGCCAGGUCACCACUGUGACCCCACGCCUUGCUGGCAGAUUGCUAUAUGGUAUUUUUCUGCAUGCCACGCUCUGGGCUGAAUGCAAUUAAAAAGCUUGCUACGCUCUCUCCUCAGCAGGAAGAUGGGUCCCUUUGUACAAUAAUCAGAGACCCCUUCACAGAGUGAGUGCCGCCGCUGCCGCCGAGCGCUGCACGAGAUGCUUUCCAAGGCCUUUCCUGAGAGAUUCCCUGCCUUAGUGCUAGUACCAUUGAUCCCAUUUUACAGGUGAGGAAGCCGAAGGCAGCCGACAGCGAGGUGGCUGAGCCAAGGUUGGCAUUUUGAGUCUGUGUGAUCCCCCAAGCCAGUGAGGUACCCGUAUUAUAUCAAGGGGCUCUGAUGUUGCUCAUUUAAAAGCAAGCAUUGUGUUUGGUAGCAAGGUUUUCUAGCUCGAGGGCAGGUGGGCAAGGACACACCUGUGGCCACCAUGGAGUGUCUCGUAAGCUCAAUGGGAAGAACACCUUAUUUGGGGACACUUGAGAGCAGAAUGGAUGACUUCAGGGGUUGCCCUCAGUUUCAAUAAACUCCCGGGGGCGUAAGGGCUUGUCUAAGGUGCAAAUGGCCUGUCCCACUCACUUCCUAGGCUGUGGGAUGUUUUUCUUACCUCUCUCAUCUGUCUUCUCCCCCGAACCCCAGACCCCCGAGGUCUUUGCACUAGAAGAGUCAAGGAGCCCAUAUACACGGCAGAGGUGGCUGUGAGGGCAUUUGGAGCCUUGGGGGAGAGGCAGUUAACUUGGGGGACAUUCUGUCUGGGUCCCGACAUUGUUGCCUUGUGCUCUUUUGUAAGGGGAAUUUCCUACCUGGACGCUUUGUACAUAUUUGUUACACUUUUAUUAAAAAAUUGAUUGUGCACCUCUCA